CCUACGGGGGGCAGCAGUCGAGAAUCAUUCACAAUGGGGGAAACCCUGAUGGUGCGACGCCGCGUGGGGGAAUGAAGGUCUUCGGAUUGUAAACCCCUGUCAUGUGGGAGCAAAUUAAAAAGAUAGUACCACACGAGGAAGAGACGGCUAACUCUGUGCCAGCAGCCGCGGUAAUACAGAGGUCUCAAGCGUUGUUCGGAAUCACUGGGCGUAAAGCGUGCGUAGGCUGUUUCGUAAGUCGUGUGUGAAAGGCGCGGGCUCAACCCGCGGACGGCACAUGAUACUGCGAGACUAGAGUAAUGGAGGGGGAACCGGAAUUCUCGGUGUAGCAGUGAAAUGCGUAGAUAUCGAGAGGAUCACUCGUGGCGAAGGCGGGUUCCUGGACAUUAACUGACGCUGAGGCACGAAGGCCAGGGGAGCGAAAGGGAUUAGAUACCCUAGUAGUC
rnacentral:rRNA from 1 species